UCGGAUCUUGAAACAUCACACGCAUCUGCAUAAUUUUCAGCGGUGGCACGCGCUAAACAACACAAAUCCUUAAACCUACACGACCUAAACCUCAUCUGCAAACUCUUUUGACUGACUACGUCUGAAUUCGUGCUUGGAUAAAAAGCAGUUUGAUAUUAAUAACGAUGUUUGUUUACGACAGUUUUAUUUCUAUCAGAGAAUGACUGGUCUCUAAACCUUAAGUCUAUAAGCAUUUGGUCCAGUGCCGUUCAGACUUCUUCACGACAUUACACAGAGUUUGGGUGGACACUACAUUGCUCAAAUGGACCUUCAUCGGACUGCUUUUAAGAUGGAGAACUCCUCCUACAUGCCUAACCCGCUGACCUCCCCUGCUCUCAUGGUCCUGGCCUCAACAGCUGAGGCUGGACGCGAUGCCUCUGUACCUUGUCAGCCUCCACGGCCAUUUGGAGUGCCAGUCACUCUGGAAAAAGACACGCAUCUCUCAUUCCCCAGUGGUUCUUACACUUUUGCCUCCAUGUACCAUCGCCAAGGAGGUUUCCCUACACGAGACUUUCCCACCCCACUUCUCCACCUUCACCCACAGUUUGCUCCACCCAAUCUUGACUGCUCUCCACUGGGUAUGCUCAACCAUGGAGGGGUGGGGGCCUUCCGGCCGUUCUCCUCCCCACCAGAGGAGCGUGAUGGUGGGGGAUACCAGUCUGCCUUCUUCCCUGCCAAGCGCUUGAAGGGAUGUCUGGAACCAGAGGCAGCACCCCACCUCCGCUACACAGAUGUGGAGGGGAAAGAAUUUGACUUUGGGGGCGCUUAUGUCCCUACUGGUUCUCCAAGUGCCCUGAAGGUAGCUGAGGAUGUUGGGAAGAAGCUCUUUGGCUUGCCUGGGCUGUUGGCAGAUGCACAGACUUCAUCUGGCCCAGAGGAGCACAAAGAAACAUGUAAAGUAAAGGGCCUGUACGACACUCAGACUCCAGUGUGUCCAAUCUGUCAGACUGUGCUGCGGCCAGGAGAGCUGCAAGAACACAUGGAACAGGAAAUGGAGCGACUUGUGCAGAUGCACCACAGUCUGGGUCCAGCUCAAAAGGAGUGUCUUGCCGCUGGGCCGCCUAAGUCUCUGUUCUCGAUCCACAUAAAGAGAGAGGGGUCUUCCUCUGCUUCCUCUCCACAUCCUGCUGAUGAGGCUGUGCACUCCGACAGGUACCAGACAUUUUUGCGAGUGCGAACAAACAGGCAAACAAGACUCAGUGUUAAGGAGGUCUGCUGGUGCAGGUGCUACGCCAAACAGAAGGUGAAUGCUAUUCAUGACUAUGGAUUCCCACAUGUAUCUUCCUGCCUAUUGUCUGUACGCAUUGGGAAAUUGAAAAGACGGAAAGCGGAGGAGGACCAGAGAGAUGGCAUGUGUGUUGCUGAAGAUGGCUCUGUGCUGUCAGCCGGCAGUGAGUUUGAAUGGGCUGAACAGAGAAGAAUACAGAUGGUUUCUGUUCUCAGAGGUUUCCGAGGUUUGGUGAGCAGUACAUUCAAAGAGCACCAUGACAGCGAUGCGGAUCUGGAUGUGGAUGGUGAUGAUACUUUGGAGUAUGGAAAAGCCCAAUACACAGAGGCGGAUGUGAUUCCCUGUUCGGGAAAUGAACCCAGAGAUGCAGAGGAGAGACAGGCGCAGAGAGGAGCUGUUUUAAAUGAGGACACAGCCAGAAGAUUUUCUCCAGAGCGAACCAAGUUGGCAAACUCAGGUGAGCCUUGGAUGGUCUUAGAAACUCCAACUACAAGUAAUGGAGAGUUUGACAACAACACAAGCACAACAUCUCCAAGAACCUGCAAUAACAGCGAGUUUGAAAUAGUAUGGGAUGACCCCUCCCUCAGCACGCUGGAGGCCCUAAAAACACGGAUCAGAGAUUUGGAGAAGCAGCUCACGCGAGGGGACAGAUUCAAGUGUCUCAUCUGCAUGGAUUCCUACACAGUACCUCUCACCUCCAUCCAGUGCUGGCAUGUCCACUGUGAAGAAUGCUGGCUUCGCACUCUGGUGAGAUGAACGUAUCAUAAAUCUGUAUACAUACAGUAACAAAGGAUUUUCAGCAAAUGUGAACCACAGGAGCGAAGAAACUGUGUCCACAGUGCAACACCAUCACCUCACCUGGGGACCUGAGACGAGUGUAUUUGUGAUUAUAGCUGGCCUGUCGUCUGCCUGUUUACACUCCACACAAACUGAUCAAUUUUACUGAGCAGAACCCUUCCUGGGCCAAUGCAAAGCUUAGAGGACUUCUUGCCCUACAGAGGAAUGAAUGCUGACAUUAAAUAUGUUCCUGUUGGAAUGCAACCCAGUUAGGUGAAGACCACUGUGUGUCCAGUUUUCAUUUCUUGAUGAAAUGGUAAAGUUUUAGGGUAUACAUUUUCACAAAUAUCAUGCUGUAACAUUAUUGCAAGGAUGGUAAAACUGAUCACAAAAUGGUGUUUCUAUGUAUAGAAUAUUUUGAUCUUGAAUAAAAUAUUGUUUUUAACUUAUUCUCCUAGAGAAAGAUCUAAAGCAAUCUGUCCAGUAGUUUUGUGAAUGUUUACAGCAAACACUGAAGAGUUUUUUUUUUUUUCUUUUCUAAAUUGUAUCUAGUGGUGUUGAUAUCUGAAAUGGUAAAAAGUUAGCCUUUUAAUCAUUCAUAAACUGAUUAUUGAAUCUUGUACAUUUAUUUUUCAUACUGUAAUUUAAUAGUUUCCUCCUUAAGAACUAUCACUUAAUGGGAUCUUUUAAAUAUGGUUUAAGAUAACUUCUCUUAUGAUACUUUUGAGGUGAUGUACUAUGUGUAAUAUUGUGUAACUGUUUAUCUUAUGCAUUUAAAAAAAAAAAAAAAAAAAAAGGCAAUUUUUUUGUCUCAUGAUCCCAUUUCAUGUCACUCUUAUCCCAAGCAUGCUUACAAUUACAGAGACAGGAGACUGCUGAUCGCUCUGCGCUCAGUAUGCGUGAUGGAAAUUUCAGCAUAAUCCAGUCCGCGCAGCUUGACCACGUGCCGGCCAGAUUUUCUAGAAUUGCAAACGCGGUCAUCAGAGAUCUUAUAGUACUGAGAUAACAACCUUCGCGGUUCUGUCAUUGGAGAGAGCGUAAGGGCUGUAAAGGUCAAGUAGCAUUUUAGGAGAGUUUACUGAUGCUAUACAAAUGAAUGGAGAGAGCCGUAAACUGACACCUUCCGGUUGUAAAAUCGUCUGUGACUUCUGUUAUAAAACAGCAAUUUUAUCAUAGUAAACUCCACACAUAGUUCACUCCAAAAGGAUUGUUUAGUGUAAACAUAUUGAAGAUUAGCGGACAGGCGGUUAAUUCAUUAAAUGAUGAGCCGUUUCCUCACAAAAGCAGUUUAUUCAGCGUUGUGAAGCAUCUCCUCUAUAGACGUCCAAUUAAAAAAACGGCCUCUUGUCUCCUCGCCAGUGUACCACCAUAGCAUAUAUAUGGAACGGCCGCGUUGCGCUAAUGUAUGCUUCCUAUCAGAAGGACUUUGGAAAAGUAUACUCAGAAAGGCAGCGCGAGGCGAUCCGGAACAUACAAAAAACGAAGUGUACCUGGGCCUUAACUCAACUAAAAGAGUAUCAAAGAAGUUGUAGUAGGCAUGCGUCAUAUGCGUUCAUAGUCGCUCGUGGUCAGAAUAGUAUACUCACAAAGGUAAUGUGGUGGACCAGUCUCAAUCUGAUCCGGAACACGCAAAAACGAAGUAUACCUGGGCCUUAAAGGAAUAGUUCACCCAAAAAUGAAAAUUUGCU